GGGGCCGGCGGGGGGGCUCCAGUCCAUACCAGUCAACACGGCAGAGGGGUGAGGCAGCUGUGGGCCGGCCCUGAGCCUGUGGGGCUCUGUGGUCUGUAGCCCCAGCUCAGCUGGUGCAUCCUGCAUGGGGCUGGGGGUGGGGGAUAAUGCCAGACAUGAGAAGAGAGGCGGAACCUGGAGCAGGGCAAGCUGAGCUGGUACCCACUCUGCAGGCCGAGCCAGGCCAAGGACUCCAGGGCAAAGCAGAGAGCCAGAGCCCAGACACAGGACACACCAAGCGUGGCCAGAGCCCGGACACGUUUUCCACAAGGACACCGAAGCCCAGAGAACGCAAGCUACUUCUGGAGAUCACUG